CAAUGCGCUGCUACCAUGCAGUCGAGCGAUGAAGCACCUUCGGGUGUGAAUUAGCGGCGAACGGGUGAGGAACACGUGAAGAAUCUGCCUUCAACUCUGGGAUAACUCCGGGAAACCGGGGCUAAUACCGGAUAUGAGCCUUGAUCGCAUGAUCGGGGCUGGAAAGUUUUUCGGUUGAAGAUGACUUCGCGGCCUAUCAGCUUGUUGGUGAGGUAAUGGCUCACCAAGGCGACGACGGGUAGCCGGCCUGAGAGGGCGACCGGCCACACUGGGACUGAGACACGGCCCAGACUCCUACGGGAGGCAGCAGUGGGGAAUAUUGGGCAAUGGAGGAAACUCUGACCCAGCGACGCCGCGUGAGGGAUGAAGGCCUUCGGGUUGUAAACCUCUUUCAGUAGGGAAGAAGCGAAAGUGACGGUACCUACAGAAGAAGCACCGGCUAACUAUGUGCCAGCAGCCGCGGUAAUACAUAGGGUGCAAGCGUUGUCCGGAAUUAUUGGGCGUAAAGAGCUCGUAGGUGGUUCGAUACGUCGGAUGUGAAAAUCAGGGGCUCAACCCCUGACCUGCAUCCGAUACGGUCGAGCUAGAGUUUGGUAGGGGAGACUGGAAUUCCUGGUGUAGCGGUGGAAUGCGCAGAUAUCAGGAGGAACACCGAUGGCGAAGGCAGGUCUCUGGGCCAAUACUGACACUGAGGAGCGAAAGCGUGGGGAGCGAACAGGAUUAGAUACCCUGGUAGUCCACGCCGUAAACGGUGGGCGCUAGUUGUGCGAACCUUCCACGGUUUGUGCGACGCAGCUAACGCAUUAAGCGCCCCGCCUGGGGAGUACGAUCGCAAGAUUAAAACUCAAAGGAAUUGACGG
rnacentral:rRNA from 1 species